GGCCUGAGGUGGUUGCCUCGCCCCUGGUCCCCUGCCCCUCGACCCCCAGGCUCGCCUCUGCCUCCCACCCGGAGGAGCUCUGCGAGCUGGAGAUCCGGAUUAAGGAGCUGGAGUUGCUCACCAUCACUGGGGACGGCUUCGACUCCCAGAGCUCUUAGGGCUCUGGACCACGUGUGCUGAUGCGGGCAGGAUCCCUCAGCCUACGAGCUGAAUGACUCCUCCCUGUUGGAGACACAUUCCUGAAGGCGCUAAAAGACGAAAAGUUACAAGGACUGAAGACCAAGCAAC
rnacentral:lncRNA from 1 species